rnacentral:rRNA from 1 species
CCCUUAGAUGUCCUGGGCUGCACGCGCGCUACACUGAUGUGUCCAGUAAGCACCUAACCUCUUCCGAAAGGAACGGGUAACCUUUGCAAAGCACAUCGUGAUGGGGAUAGAUUAUUGCAAUUAUUAGUCUUGAACGAGGAAUUCCUAGUAAGCACAAGUCAUCAGCUUGUGUUGAUUACGUCCCUGCCCUUUGUACACACCGCCCGUCGCUCCUACCGAUUGAAUGUUCCGGUGAGCUCUUCGAACUGCGCGGUCUGCAGUUUCUGCGUUCCGUGCGGAAAGUUGCGCAAACCUUAACAUUUAGAGGAAGGAGAAGUCGUAACA